rnacentral:lncRNA from 1 species
UGGGGGUCAGGAGUUUGAGUUUUUACGUGAGCAAAGGAUUUAUUUUUCCUAGAUGUCGUGGAGGUGUUUGAGUGGAGUUAGAAUUCUGAAGAGAAUAGGGUGAGUGUGGACGGUUUGGAGUGUUUGAAGGGUGUGGGGAUGUGUGGGAGCGAAUUUAGGGAUAAGAGGGAAAAAUUUUGGGGAUUUUGGGGGAAGAAUAUCCAAAAUUU